rnacentral:rRNA from 1 species
UACGGGGGGAGCAAGCGUUGUUCGGAUUUACUGGGCGUAAAGGGCGCGUAGGCGGCCACCGCAAGUCGGUUGUGAAAUCUCUGGGCUUAACCCAGAAAGGUCAAUCGAUACUGCGGGGCUAGAGUGCAGAAGGGGCAACUGGAAUUCUCGGUGUAGCGGUGAAAUGCGUAGAUAUCGAGAGGAACACCUGCGGCGAAGGCGGGUUGCUGGGCUGACACUGACGCUGACAGCGCGAAAGCUAGGGGAGCGAACGGG